GCCCUCGUAGCUCAACGGAUAGAGCAGCGCUCUUCUAAGGCGCUGGUGCAGGUUCGAUUCCUGCCGAGGGCACCA
rnacentral:tRNA from 2 species